GUAUAGAACCUACCUUUUACAGAGGAAUAGCCUUUAGAAAUGAAGAUUAAUGCCUCAUGGUAUUGUAGACUGGCAUCAGUUUAUAAUUAAAGAUUUAUCGGUAAAAGAUGGCUAUGCGUCCUAUUAGUUAGUUGGUAAGGUAACGGCUUACCAAGACAGCGAUAGGUAGGGGUCCUGAGAGGGAGAUCCCCCACACUGGUACUGAGACACGGACCAGACUCCUACGGGAGGCAGCAGUGAGGAAUAUUGGACAAUGGAGGAGACUCUGAUCCAGCCAUGCCGCGUGUAGGAAGAAUGCCCUAUGGGUUGUAAACUACUUUUAUACAGGAAGAAACACUGGUAUGUAUA
rnacentral:rRNA from 1 species